CCCCGCUUAGCUCAGUUGGAAGAGCGCAAGACUGUAAUCGGCUUCGUUUAUCUUGAGGUCCCUGGUUCGAUCCCGGGAGCGGGGA
rnacentral:tRNA from 1 species